GGACAACCUACCCUAAAGUGAGGGAUAACUCCGGGAAACUGGGAAUAAUACCUCAUAGAUUAUGAAUGCUGGAAUGCUUUAUAGUUCAAAGGUCCGCCGCUUUAGGAUGGGUCUGCGGCCGAUUAGGUUGUUGUUGGGGUAAUGGCCCAACAAGCCUGUAAUCGGUACGGGUUGUGGGAGCAAGAGCCCGGAGAUGGAUUCUGAGACACGAAUCCAGGCCCUACGGGGCGCAGCAGGCGCGAAAACUUUACAAUGCGAGCAAUCGUGAUAAGGGAACUCCGAGUGCCCGUAAAAUCGGGCUGUCCGCCAGUUUAAAUCACUGGUGAAGAGAGGGCCGGGCAAGACCCGUGCCAGCCGCCGCGGUAAUACCGGCGGCUCGAGUGGUGGCCACUAUUACUGGGCUUAAAGCGUUCGUAGCUGGCUUGUUAAGUCUCUGGGGAAAUCUUCCGGCUUAACCGGAAGGCGUCUCAGGGAUACUGGCAGGCUAGGGACUGGAAGAGGUGAGAGGUACUCCAGGGGUAGGAGUGAAAUCCUGUA
rnacentral:rRNA from 1 species